rnacentral:rRNA from 1 species
AGUGAACGCUGGCGGUAGGCCUAACACAUGCAAGUCGAACGGCAGCACAGGAGAGCUUGCUCUCUGGGUGGCGAGUGGCGGACGGGUGAGGAAUACAUCGGAAUCUACCUUUUCGUGGGGGAUAACGUAGGGAAACUUACGCUAAUACCGCAUACGACCUUCGGGUGAAAGCAGGGGACCUUCGGGCCUUGCGCGGAUAGAUGAGCCGAUGUCGGAUUAGCUAGUUGGCGGGGUAAAGGCCCACCAAGGCGACGAUCCGUAGCUGGUCUGAGAGGAUGAUCAGCCAAACUGGAACUGAGACACGGUCCAGAAUCCUACGGGAGGCAGCAGUGGGGAAUAUUGGACAAUGGGCGCAAGCCUGAUCCAGCCAUACCGCGUGGGUGAAGAAGGCCUUCGGGUUGUAAAGCCCUUUUGUUGGGAAAGAAAAGCAGCCAGUUAAUACCUGGUUGUUCUGACGGUACCCAAAGAAUAAGCACCGGCUAACUUCGUGCCAGCCGCCGCCGUAAUAC